GAUGAACGCUGGCGGCGUGCUUAACACAUGCAAGUCGAACGAUGAAGCCCAGCUUGCUGGGUGGAUUAGUGGCGAACGGGUGAGUAACACGUGAGUAACCUGCCCUUAACUCUGGGAUAAGCCUGGGAAACUGGGUCUAAUACCGGAUAGGAGCGUCCACCGCAUGGUGGGUGUUGGAAAGAUUUAUCGGUUUUGGAUGGACUCGCGGCCUAUCAGCUUGUUGGUGAGGUAAUGGCUCACCAAGGCGACGACGGGUAGCCGGCCUGAGAGGGUGACCAGCCACACUGGGACUGAGAAACGGCCCAGACUCCUACGGGAGGCAGCAGUGGGGAAUAUUGCACAAUGGGCGCAAGCCUGAUGCAGCGACGCCGCGUGAGGGAUGACGGCCUUCGGGUUGUAAACCUCUUUCAGUAGGGAAGAAGCGAAAGUGACGGUACCUGCAGAAGAAGCACCGGCUAACUACGUG
rnacentral:rRNA from 1 species